rnacentral:rRNA from 1 species
GGUGAACGCUGGCGGCGUGCUUAAGACGUGCAAGUCGAACGCAGUCUUCGGACUGAGUGGCGCACGGGUGAGUAACACGUAACUGACCUACCCCCAAGUCGCGGAUAACUGGCCGAAAGGUCAGCUAAUACGUGAUGUGAUGUCUCCUUUCUGGGGGGCCAUUAAAGGUUUACUGCUUGGGGAUGGGGUUGCGUUACAUCAGCUAGUUGGCGGGGUAAAGGCCCACCAAGGCAACGACGGAUAGCCGGCCUGAGAGGGUGGCCGGCCACAGGGGCACUGAGACACGGGUCCCACUCCUACGGGAGGCAGCAGUUAGGAAUCUUCCACAAUGGGCGAAAGCCUGAUGGAGCGACGCCGCGUGAGGGAUGAAGGUUCUCGGAUCGUAAACCUCUGAAUCAGGGACGAAAGACGCGUAAGCGGGAUGACGGUACCUGAGUAAUAGCACCGGCUAACUCCGUGCCAGCCGCCGCGGUAAGAC